rnacentral:lncRNA from 1 species
ACCGAUCCACCUCCGGUCCUCCACCCAAUUCCAAAAUCAAGCAUCAAACAACAGUGUUAGAAUUAGAGGUUAGAGGCUGUCAAUACAUUGUAAAUUCAUAUUCUGUUAAACAGGUUAGUUCUCGAAUUAUUUCCCCUAUGUAUUUGUAAAUCCUCACCUUUUCCGCAUGUUAAUUUGUUAAAUUAUUUUUCAUGUUGUUUUGCUUUUUUAUGUUUGGAUUGAUGAACUAAUUGAUCUCUGUUAUAUGACCAAUAGGGUGCUUUAAUUUUCUGCCUGUAAUUCAUAAACUGAUGUUGUUUGGAUCGUUUAUCCUGAUAAAGGAGGAACCUUUUUGGGUGGUUAGGGUUAGGGUUUGGGAUGUUUUGGUAAUUGCUGGGGAAGGAUUGGUAUUUUGAUAAGAUGAUAUAUGGUGGUUUUCUGAUUUUGAUUUUAAGACAUUGAAUCUUUAGGGGGAAUUAAAUCUGGAACAUACAAGUUAGAGCCAAAUGGGGUAAUCAAAUAUACUAUAACAUGAGCUAAAUUAUAUCAAUAUAUAGUAAACCAUAUUGUUAUACAUGAAAAUAUAUAGUAGAUAUUCGAAUAUUUGAUUUCAUCGAUUGUAACAUAAGGAACCAGAAAAUGUUUGAUCACCGGACCCAUAUGUGAAGUUGAACGGCUCUCUCUGGGUUUCAACUAAAAAGCCCCAUAGCUUUAUUCUUUCACUUAAAAAAGUAAAUUAAAAAUACUUUUUUAUUUUAUUUUGAAGGUGGUUGAUUAUUAGGCAAACAACCAUGCAAAGAAUAAGAACAUAAGUAAACAUGAAAGACAGAACAGGGAGAAUAAUAUUAAAAAUUAUUCCAUUUGAAAUGUUCAUCUUAAAAUGAUUUUUUUUCUUAAUUAUGUUUACAUUCUGAUGUAAAAAAACAUGAUAGACAAAUAAAUAAUUUAUAUGUAUGAUGAAAUUAUGCUUAAAGGUUUUACUAUUAAGGGAUUCCAUUAGUUUCCAAACAACAGUAUUAAAUUCUCAAUAUUAUAGCUAAAGAACAUGUCAGGCCAGCUCAAAGUCCUAAUCAAACAGUUCCAUUACAUAAUACUUGAGGUUAGGCAGAAAUAAAUAAAUAAACCAUAGGCUUAACCUUUUUUUUAUUCCUUAAAUAAUUAUUAUUCCUUUUCUCUUUGAUCCUUUGCAGAAGUAUCUAUUCUAUUUUUGGAAUCUGGAAACACCUAUUAAGACUCAUUACGUUCCGGCCUUCCGGGGAAACUUGUUUUUACAUUUUCCGAAAGCAACUUAUAUAUAUAUAUAUAUGUAUGUAUGUAUAUCUUUACCGUAAAAUUAUCUUGAGGUGAGUUUUGUAUUUCAAUACGAGGCUAUAGGAUUAAGGGUAGCUGAGCACAAUUAAAAGCAAAAUUGUGCUAUUCAAUUAUUAUUGGAUGAGAAUUGAUUUAUGUUUUAUAGAGCAUGAAAUUUACCGGGCUGAGAUCACAAGCUUAGUUUCUUCAUUUAAUAUCUUUUUUGUUUUUGCUUUGUUUUAUUGUAGAAACAAGCUAUUUAGCGAGACAGAAAAAAAGCAGACACAAAUGACGCAGAAAAAAACGGGCCGGGCCAGGCUCGGGCUUAGGAAUUUUUUCCCGAGCCGGGCUUGGACAAAUUUUUAGGCCCAUAUUUUGGGUCAGGCCUGGCCCGGGCCUUGAAAGCGGGCCUCAAAAUUUUUCUGGGCUUGACCCGAACCCGACCCAGCCCAUGAUCACCUCUAGACCAGUCUUGAUGUAUCUGAAUUCCUAAAACAAAAAAGGCAUCCCUAAGAUCUUUCAUCUCAAAAUAAUUAGAUAAAAAUCUCUCGGUUUCGUGCAAUAAGCCUAUAUCAUUAGUGGCAAGAAAAAUGUUAUCGACAUAUAGAACCAUGAAUAUAUACUUACUCCCAAUGAAUUUGUGAUACACGCAAUCAUCGACAAUAUUCAUCUCAAAAUCGAAUGAGACAAUUACUUGAAAAAACUUGUGGUACCAUUGAUGGGAAGCUUGUUUGAGUCCAUAAAUGGAUUUUGUUAAUUUGUGAACCAUAUUCUAUAGGUCUCCCAACUCAAACUUUUUUGAUUGUACCAUAUAAAUUGUUUCUUCAAUGUCGACAUUGAAAAACACAAUUUUAACAUCCAUCUAAUGUAACUCAAUAUCAAGAUAAGCAACAAACGUCAUGAUUGUCCUAAAAGAGUCUUUCGAUAAAACUGGAGGGAAAGUCUUUGUAAAAUCAAUGUUUUAUUUCUAAAUAUAUAAUUUAGCUACAAGAUGUGUAUACCUCUCCACAUUACCAUUUGCAUUCCUCUUGGUUUUAGAUAUCUAUUUACAACAAAUUGGUUUUGCACCUUCAAGUAAUGGGACAAGUUCCCAAACUUUAUUGUCUUGCAUAAACUUAUACUCUUCUUGCAUGGCAUCAAUCCACUUUUAACAAUUAGAAAUUUUUAUGGUCUAAUGAAAUUUGAUUUAAUCAUCUUCCAUCAUCCUAUUGUCAUCCUCAUAUUCCUGGAGAAAUACAAUAUAAUCAUCGAAAAUAGCAUUUCUCCUCUCUCGUGGACCUCCUUAAUGACACUUGUUCUUGAAGUUGUUUAGUUUGUUCUUCUCAAACAAUUACCUCAUCUUGAAUAGAGAGUUGUUUAACAUUGUCUUGUUGAGGUCCUAGAUUCACUUCUUGACCAAUGAUAAGUAUGAAAACCUAAACAUCAUUAAAAGUUAUAGCAGGAACUGAGUUAGAAUCCAUUUCCUCCUUAAAAGCAAUGUCUCUAACCUUAUUUCUCCAUUCAAACUGAACAUCUUCAAAAAAUGUUGUAGUACCUAUCUCAAAAAUAUUCCUAAUUGUGGGACCAUAAAACUUAUAGCCCUUAGAUCGCUCAGAAUAACCAAGAAAUUAGUUGCUCACUAUUUUAGAUUCCAAUUUCUUUUCAUGUGGCCUAUAAGGCCUUGCCUCAACUAGACAUCCCCAAAUGUGAAAGUGCUUUAGACUAGGCUUUCGACUUGUCCAAAUCUCAUAAGGUGUUUUUACAGCUGCUUUAGUGGGUAUUUUAUUUAGAAUGUAAGUUUUUUUGUCUUUAAAGACACUAGCCAAAUGAGUACUUCUAGACUUAUCAUAUUUCAACCUUUCUUCCUCUUGCACAUAAUGAGAAAUGAGUUUAUUUAGAGUUCAUUCACAUUUUGACAGUUGUAAUUAAUUUUAAAUUGGUUAAACUGUGCAGAAAGCGAUACCAAAGUAAUAAGAACAUGCAAUUCCUCAGAAUUUUGAUCUUAAAUUUGAUCUUAAAUGCCUUAAGUAUUAAAGUAACAUGGAACAUUUCCAUAAUGUACUCCAUCUCGUUUCUUUGACCCUUAUACUUUACAGACAUUAAAGAAGUCGAAAGUGAUGUCAUCUCAAUCUUAUCAUUUUUGGCAAAAUGUUUCUCAAUUUCAUCAAUGAAACCCUUAGCCAGAGUAAUCUCUUUAGAUUCUAUGCCCCUAAAGGCUUUUGGAAUGUUAUGCCCAUGAUCAUUAGAUUUAUGCGGUUUGAAUGACCCCACCUCUCAAAAUCUGUUUUAGCAUCAGGGGUGCUUGUCGUAGUGACAGGUACAGGUUGUUCUUCCCUUAGUGUAAGGUUUAUGUUCAUACAACCAAGCACUAUAAGUAAGUGCCUUUUCCAUUCCUUGAAAUUAGUCCCAUUAAGUAUUAGUAUAUAAUUUAUAUUAACAGAUAUUGUGACGGCAUAAGAUGAACUAGUUGAAUAUAAAACAAAAUAGAUAAAAAUAAGCUUACAUAAAUAUUCAUAAAUAAACAAUAAAUUCAAAAUAGUGGCUAAUCUUAUCUCAAGAUACCAAACACAACAUUAAUAUCACGUCUUUGGACAAUAAUAGUAACAGUAAGAGAUACUAUUGUUGUAACAAUCAAACAUUGACAAUAAAUUAUGUCAAACAAUGAAUCAACUGUUGCACUAACUUAUUACUCACAUAAAAUACCUUAUAAUUGCCACACAUAUAUCACCAUAGUUGUCGUUGAAAUUCUGCCAAAUAUUAACUUACCUUUUGGUCAAUUAAUAAAUGCAAGAAUCACAAAAAAUAUAUAAUCAUAUUGAUAUUUUAAAUAAACUAAUAUAUGCAAAAGAGGAUUUGGUGUCAUUUUGUUUCAACUAAUCUAUUUAAAAUAUUAGACAUCCUUAAUUAAACCCCAAAGCCAAAAUUUAAAUUUAUUUGUUUCAAAAUUUUUCAAAUUUAAACCAAAAUAAUUUGAAUAAAGGUUAAUCACAUAUCAAGAUAUCAGGCACUCCAUUAAUAUUUCAUCUUUGGAAAAAAAUAUUAACUUGCAAGUGAUACUUAUUGUAGUAAUCAAACAUUGACAAUAAAAACAUAUCAAAUAAUAAAUCUUUUUUUGGACCGAUUUAUUACUCGCAUGUAAAACUAAAUAAUCAUUACAAUAUUAACAUUCCGUUGGGCCAAUCAAUAUUAACAUAACUUAUGUUACAUACACACAACCUUUUAUAUUUUAAAACAAAAUAAUUUUAAUAACAAAUGUCACUUUGACAACUUAUUAUUUCAAUUAAGUUAUUUUAAAAAAUAUAUAAACAUACCCAUAUUCAAAUUUAAAAUUUCCAUAACAAUAACCCAAAAUAAAAUUAUCUCAAUGCUAAAUGAGAAACCAAAUACAUUAAUCUUUGAUGAAUUACAAGCUGCCAUUAAAAUUUUAUAAUAAAGUUCAAAAUCAAAUUUUAUAAGACUGAAUUUAAUUUAUCAUGAGUUUACAUCAAAAUAUCCCAAAAUUAAAUAUAUAUUCAAAUAAAAAAAAAUUAACAAUAUAUAUAUAAUUGAGUCCAUAAAAAAUUAUCACCACAACCUUAGCAUCAAUAUACAAAAUUUAAAAUCAUAAAAUUUUAUAGAUUUAAUAAUAUCCAAGUCACGCAUUAUACCCUUAAAAUAAUUGAUAAAAAUAUAUAAACUCGUACAUAUAUAAAUAUCAAAACCAAUCAUAAAUUAUAUAUAAAUUUGAAAGGUCAAUAAAUUAACAAUCACUUGUAUAUAAAUUUUGGCAACACCAAAACUGUUCAUAAAUCUACUGCACCAUUAUCAAUUUUUAAUCAAAUAAAUUAAAAGAAUAGAUCAACGUCAAAACACAACAUACCAAAUCAAAUUCUAAUUUGAUACUUCCUUGAAAACUUGACUUUUCAUUUUUUUUUAAAACCAUAAUCAAUGAAUAAUGAUUAAAAAAAACAAACUUACAAAUAAUAGAAGCAUAUGUGUGUAUAUAUCAACUUACAAAAUCAAAUCAGUUGAAGCAAACAAGAAUUUCAACGAUCUUUGAUUUUUAAGAUCACGCAUAUAUUCCAAACCCUAAAACUUAAAAACUUGGACAUAUAGCCUUAAAAUUUGUACAAUUUUUAUUUUAAACCCUAGAACUUUUAACAUAAAUCCAAAAAGUUUAAUGUGUAUAACCGAAACAUCAAAUCAAUAUAUCAAAUUUAUAAAAUCUGAAGAAUGAAUUAAUCCAAUAAUAAUAAACAACUCAUUAUCAAUGGUUCGAAAUGACAAGGCUCGGAUGCCACUCGUUAGAACCGUAAAACAAGAUUUAAUAUAAAACUUAACAAACCUAGAUGCAGAAGCGUACUUGAAUCUAUUGAUUUCUUGAAAUCUUCAGAUCUUAUGGUUUGGAUCUUCUAAAUUAGCACACAAGUAAUUCAGAGAAUGUGGCUCUCUCUUUUCUAAAGAUUAGAUAUUAGAAAAGUUACAUAUGUGUAAUUUGAGACAAUAACCCUAAUAUAUAACUUUUGCACAUUAGCCCUAAUUUCUAAUCAACCCAUCAUCAAUUAAAAAUUAGUUACUAGAGUAUUACACAUAUUUGCCGCAUACUUUAUUUAAUAACUAAACCCCAAUAAACCUUAACCAAAUUAGAUCAAUUUUAAUUUAGGCUAAUAUUUUAUAAUAGUAAAUAAUAACAUAUAAUUAUAUAAUUAUAUAUAAUGUCCAUAUUUUUCAAAACCUAUCACCACACUGCUGGAUAAAACAUAGGUUUAUUGAGUAAUAUUUUCUCGUGUGUUAUUCAUAGGAGUAUUCGGGUAUUUAUACAUGUUACAGAUGCUAUUACAGCUUAUUUUAGGACCCCACUACUAGGACCCCACUAUUUUGUCUUGACUCCACUGCCUCUAAUACUGAUAUUCUCGGUGGACUCCAGGCCUGCUAAACACAUGUAUAUGACGCAUUUGGUCCUUUUUUAUUUCUGGGACUGAGGUUCUAGGCGAGCUCUGUACCUAUUGGACAUACACCUGGAUGGCUGCACGCUCCUUAGGUAUAUGCGAACUGAGACUGUGGUGGACUGGGUUUGCGAGCUUAUCCUUUUUGCGAGCUCUUUGGGCAUACGUGAAUUCACCUUGAAGUCCUCUAGUGGUUCGUCUUGCAUCCAAUCUUCUGGUAGGACCUAUCUAGGUCAUGGGUUGGUGACCUGGAUCAUGUCUAGGACUCGAGUUAGUGAUCUUUGAUGUAUAACAAUCUAUUCCCCUUAGUAGGUCUAAGAAAGGUUACAAAGUGACACUUCUUGGAUCCAUCACAUCAAAUUUAAACACAUCUUGCUAGGCACGCUACGAGUUGCUGGGCACGAGUAGGUUUUGAGUGCACAUAUCUAACCAUUGAAAGUUGAACAGUUUUCAUCUGCUCGUAUCUGGAUUGUUGGUCUUCCUCGAUUAUAUGAAUCGUCAAAAUUCGGAAAGAGAAACCCUUCUUUAAAAUAACACUCAAAGCUCUAAAUUCUUCACACUUGGCAUCUUUUACAACUAGAAGAAAGGUAAUUUCAAAAACACUCUUUCUUUAAAUUUUUGUAUUUUUCUUUUACCAAUACUAUGACGAAGAUGAGAGGGAUCAGUAAUCGAAUAGUCCAAGCCCAUCCAUCGCGAGAAAGAUCAUCUCGGGCUUUGGAGACGACUAAACUCUGUCCUUGUACCACUAAGCGGGAAGAACUGCGACGGGUUUUGGUCAUGCGGGGGAUAAAGCUCUCGAAUUUUAUGUAUAAGUUUUCCAUCCCGGAGGGGUUACAUCGAUUGUGUAAAACCACUGAGGAUAGCUUCCUACUACCGCUUCACGCGUUUGAGGAUGGGUUCCACUUGCUGCUACACCCCUUUUUUUACAAUCUGCUUAAGGAUUACGAAAUCGCCCCCGGUCAACUCUCGGGCUUUUCUUGGUGGAUUGCCAUGGCAUAUUUUAUUAACUGUUGUCAGUGUAAUGAGGUCCAUUUACUUGCUAUUUUCUAGCACUUGUAUUAAUUAAAAGGUCAAGACCGGGGGAACUCAAUAGGGUUCUACUAUUUUACCCCUGCAAAAAGGCGGGGACCAUUAUUGUGAAUCAAUGUUCAAAUCUUUGCCUAAACUGAAGGAAGUAUGUCCGAGUUCGUAGCAAACUUGGUUAUGACUUUGGGUUUCUAGUGAAGUGGUCUUCUCCGAGUUGAGACAUGUGCUUGUUUUAGUGGACCUUCCUUAUAGAUGAAACCAUAGCCCAAUUUCGGAUGCUUUACGUUGGUUGCUUGUUGGUUUUGGAGGAUCUUAUCAUGGCGAGAAAUAUUUUUCAACACUACUUGGAGCGUUUCAACCUAAAUGGGUGAAGAUCUGGUGACAACAGGAUGAUUGCCCAGUCUGUUAGUGCACUUCUUGAAAGAAACACAUGGCUCCAUGGUGUUGCGGAUGAGUUGGGUCUAAUACUGCUAGGCUUCAAGGAGAAACUAAUAAAUUUCUUUUAUCGCUUCUACGAGAUAAGUCUUCAUCUAUUUGCUCUCGCUGCAUCAUCGCAAGGGGAAAGUGGUAGGAGUAAAGUUAAUUUACUAACUACUCCUACUGAUUAUAGAAUUGUUGCUGAUGCAGGUAUCGAUUGCAGCUCUGGAAAAAUUUCAAGCGACACUGAUAGUGUUUUCCGUGAGAUCAAUAAGGCCAUGGACAUGGAUUUGGUGAUAAAUGGGGCAUUGCAAGAAAUGCAAGACUAGCACGGGGGCUAUGCACGUCGCUUCUACCAGUGAGAAGGAAGGGAAUAAUGUAUAAUUGGAGUGACAUAGUAAGAUAAAGGCAGACCUUGUUGGUCCUAUUUCUACUAUGGUUGAAACCUUAAGUUCUCUAGGUUCUCCAAUGGCGAGCUUACAGCAUGUUCCCUUCGUUAGUUCGCCGAUUACCAUAGAUGAUGAUACCCCUCUACCUAUCCCUCGUGCAUCUCCUUCUGUGCAUGUUUUUGGAGAAAUACCAAUUUGAAGUAAUAGAGGUUCAUUUCCGUGACGCAGAGAUUCGAGCAUGUAAAAGUAUCCCUAUAAUCCUGUUGAUGUGUCCCUUGGAUGGCAAACCCUUGUACUAGAAGCUGCGAGGUUAAGUAGCGAGCAAACACCCUCAGUGUCAAGUAUUUCCUCAUCUCUGCAAUUCUUUCUUUCUAAAGCUUAAUAUGGUCAUGCUGAAAUAGGAUGAGGCUCGCCAAAAUGAACUCAUUGAGACUACAGCAUAACUAGAAAGAUUCUACGAGGUGUAUCUUAAGAUAAGGGAGGAAAAUGAGGUCAUUAAUAGACAGAAUAGGAACCUUAAAAAAUGUUUGGCGGUUGCUGAAGUUAAAAUAGAGGGGCUAGCUUGCAAUGUGGUCGCUGAGAGGCAAAGCAAAGAGGCUGCACAAGUUGAGCUAGAAAGGGUUGUUACGGAGCAUGCCAUUCAAACAGAUAAGGUCAUCAAUGAGUGUCAUUAUCAAGUAGAGAGGACGAGGUAGGACUAGCUCGAGGCUCUGCAUAAAUUUAAGGAGAAAAUAAAAAAAAUGUUUGUAAGUCUAUUUCUAAGCUGAAAAUGAACAUAUUGUUGCAUGCUCAGGUCGUUGGAGGCCCUUUCGAUGCUCGUAGAGUGGAUCUUAAUGCUUUCGGUGAGGUAAAUAUAAAUGAGUUGGAUUUUGAUUUGUUGUUCCCUUUGGGUGCUACGUAGAACUCAUUCGUCUCUAUCUGAAAGAAUUCACCAGAUUUCUAUCUAGACGAAGACCCAAUCGAGGAUAAUAACGUGGACCCUCUUGUCGUGAGUGACAACGAGGCCCCUUAUGCUGAGAAUGACAUCGCACCACUCUUACUAUGGGACAAGAUGCUGAUAGGAGGGAAGAGGAAACCAAUGUAUUUUAGCUAGUUGAUAAUUUGUAUUUUGUUGUUAUUUUUUCAAUGAAAUCAAAUUUUAUGUUUUGAAGGAAUUUAUUUUUAAUAGUUGUUGCUUUUCAUGUCUUGGUGAGUCCAUACUUAUCGUACAACUAUAUUUAUUGUUACGAAGGCUUUAAAUAAAUCCUUAAAAAAUCACCAGUUACUAGCUACUUGGAAGUUGAAACAAUUCUUUAAAGUUAUUAAUUUUGCGAAUCAGCUGGGAAUAUCAGUUUGUGAGCUAUUCUAUACUUAGGAAAAUAUUUAAAAAUGAUCAACUGGGAGUGUUAAUUCGCGAGCCUUAAUAUGACAGUUGAGAGUUUGUAACUCUCGCUAAUUGUGUUGGAGGCUGUGGUUUUUCAUGCACGAGCCUUAAUAUGAUAGUAAGGAGUUUGUAACUCUCACUAACUAUGUUGGAGGCUGCAGUUUUUCACCUGCGAGCCUUAAUACAACAGCUGGGAGUUUGUAACUCUCACCAAUUAUAUUAGAGGCUGUGGGGUUUUACUUGUAAGCCUUAAUAUGACAGUUGGGAAUUUGUAACUCCCAAUAACUGUAUUAGAGGCUGUGAUUUUUCAUUUACAAGCCUUAAUAUGAUAGCUGAGAGUUUGGAACUCUUGCUAACUGUGUUGGAGGCUGUGGUCUUUCACUUGCAAGCCUUAAUAUGAUAGUUGGGUGACUAGGGGAAGAUUCUUCAUUUAAAGGAUAAUGAGUUACACAUAAUAUUUUUUGAGGUGUCAGAAUUCCACGCUCGUGGUACAACCAUGCCCUCUAUCCUUGUAAGCUAAUAUGCUCCAUAACUUAUUUUCUUUAUAACUUUGUAUAGCCCUUUCCAAUUUGGAGCCAUCUUUCCUUAUUGUGAAGCUAGUAGAAUAGCUUUGGUAUUUCUUAGACCAAAGUCACCCACUUAGAACUACUUGUUUUUAACCUUAGAAUUGUAGUAGCGAGCUACUUACUAGGCGCAUGUUGCGUUCCUAACUUUGGUUGUUUCUUUCAGAUCAUCAAUCGUAUUGAGGUUGAGCCUGAUGGUUUCUUGAUUAGCUUCCUCGUUGAAGUGUUUCGUUCUGUCUGACCUCAAACCAAUCUCUACAGGGAUUACAACUUUUGCACCGUAAACAAGAAAAAAAAUUGUUUCUAGGUAGUUCAUUGAUUCUACUUGUUCGUUAGUUUGUAGAAUUUUUACUGAAAUUUGAGCUAGAGUUAUCUGGAGUUUAAUGUAUAAUUUUUUGAACUUUCCCUAAAACUGUGUACCAUUGUCCGUAAUGAUCAUGCAAUGUAUCCCAAACCUGUACACAAUCGAUUUCCAUAAGAAGGACUCCAUCUGUUUCUCUUUGAUAGUUGUCAAUGUUUCAGCUUCAAUCUAUUUGGUGAAAUAAUCUACAACCACCAUUAUGAACUUUUUUCACACCGUGGCUAUUGGAAACAGACUAAGGAUAUCAACCCUCCAAGUUGUGAAUAGCCAAGGGCCUGACAUGACCUAUAGAGGCUUCUCUGGUUGUCACUAGAUCUUGGCAUUUCUUUGGCAAGAAUUACGCAUGGGAACUAACUGGUGUGCAUUUUUUUAAAUUGUAGGUCAAUAAUACCUUUGUCUAAAGAUUUUUUGUGAGUAAUUUACCUCCUAAGUGAUCACCGCAAAUUCCUUCGUGGAUUUCUUGCAUAACUUAUCCAGCCUCAUGUAGUGAUAAGCAUUGUAGCAGUGGAUGCAAUAACCCCUUUCUAUACAGUACACCCUCCAAAAGGGUGUAUCUAUCAAAUGUAGGAUAAAACACAUUGUCUUAAUUCAUUAUGUAAUGAGUUCGAAAUAUUUAAAUAUUCGAUUCAUGUAUUGGGAGUUCUGUAAGCAUUUAUAAUUAAUGAUAAUAACAUAUCUCACGACUUUAUGUUAUAGCUUUGAGAGCUUCUUCUUGUCUCGAUUGUCCUAUCCGUAUUGGAGAGUGCAAAUUAUUGGAGUUAUCCAUAUCUCCUCUUGGUCUAGGCAUAGUACUCGGGCGUGUUAUAACUCGGGGUCUCCCUUUGCUAGAGUAGGAUUUUUCUUCUUUGUUCAAUGACAAUGGAGGAUGUUAACUUGGAUAAAGCAUUGACACGCGCGUUGUCACUUCUCGGGAGCUAUUUAAUUUAAGCUUUGUCGAACUUUGUGAGUAAUUGAGUUGCCAUUGCAUGAUAUCUUCUUAGCACCAUUUCUUUUACAUUGUAUUUGUUGUUCAUCUAUUUUUCCACCAAAUGCCAAUCUGUGUGGGCAAUUAGGCUCUUUGCUCCUAGCUAGCGUGCUAUUUACAGUCCUAAUAUCAAAGCUUCAUAUUCAACGAUGUUAUUGAACGUUUGGAACCCAAAUGAUAAUAUGUACUAUCAUUUGGUGCCAUUGGGAUCAAUUAUUAAUGCACCUAUUCUUGAUCCUGCUUUGGUUGAGGAGCCAUUGAUGUAAACUAGCCAACUUUUUGAAUUAGCAGUUGCAUGUGCACCUUCUGAAGGUGGGUUAACUACUAAAUAGCGUACAACAAGCGAAAAAAGAUCAUAGUAUAAAAUACGAUGUAACAAACAAUUUUUUAUAGGAUAUUCAUUGUCCAACAUUUCCAAUUGCACAUUACGUUACAUGCCGUGUCAACAAUUUUUUCAAAGGAACAUUCCACUAUGAAAUCAACUAGCACUUGUCCUUUAAUCGUCGUUCGCGGAGUGAAGUCUAUCCCGAAUUUGACUAGCUCAAUAUCUAAAGGUCACGUGUUCGAUUCACGCUCACUACACCAGUUGUUGAAUAAUAUUUUCUCGUAUGUUAUUCUUGGAAGUAUUUGGGUAUUUAUACAUGUUGUUACAGAUGCUAUUAUAGCUCAUGAUAGGACCACACUAUUAGAACCCAACUAUUUUGUCUUGACUCCACUACCUCUAGUACUGACAUUCUCUGAGGACUCCAGGCCAUCUGAACACGUGUAUACAGAGCAUACGGUCCUUUUUGUUUCUAGGACUAGUGUUCUAAGUGGGAUCUGUACUUGCUGGACUUGUGUCUAAGUGGCUGCGUGCUCCUUGGGUUUAUGUUAACUAAGACUAUGGCGAAUUGGAUCUGCGAGCUUGUCCUUUUUGCGAGCUCCUCAGGUAUAUACGAACUGAGACCGUGGCAAGCUUGGUCCGCGAGCUUGUCCUUUUUGCGAGUUCUUUGGGUAUACGCAAACUCACCUUAUUGUCCUCUCGCAGGUCGUCUUACACCCAAUCUUCUGGUGGGACCUAUCCAAGUCAUGGGUUGGUGAUCUGGAUCCUGUCUAGGACUCGGAUCGGUGAUUACUGAUGUAUAACAAGGUUAAAAAAGUUUGAUGUCAAGCUCUUCCUCAAUAUAAACUUAAAAAGACUCUAAGCUACAACUUUAAUAUCGAAACUACCUUGAAACUUCAUCAUAACUCUCAAAACAUUCCAAAACCAUCAUUGGUAGUUCUAAACACUUCUAUGAACCGCUUCCUACCUCCAACAUCAUCUCUUAUAUAAUACAUUCACGAAGACAUCUAAUAUCAAAGUCUGUCUGACAAUUGCAAUUAAAUUUCUGUUUAGAAAAAAAAAUUAUUAUUUAGUCCCUAAUAUUAAACUUUAUUAGUCCCUAUAUUUAACUCAAUUUACAGAACUAGUCUUUGUAGUUUAAUUUUGGUGAGUUUAGUCUUUGUAUUUUAUGAGCUUCAAAUCUUACGGCACGUUUGAUUCACUGGAAAUGGAAUAGCCAUGCUGUGGGAAUUUAAUAAAGUUAUAAUGGAAUUGAAUAGACAUAAUAGUGGUUUGGUUGGAUGGAAGGGAAUAAGUAUUGUAAUAGUAUUUAUGCAUUUGGUUGAGAGAAAUAGAUAUGUAAUAGAAAAAAAAAUACUCAAAUGACGAAUAUACUAUUGCCUUCAAAAGUAUUUAUAAAUAUUAUUAUUAAAAGAAUCACAAAAAUAUAUGAAUUAUUUUUAAAUAAUUUAAUAAAAUAUAUUUUCAAAAUUUUAAAAGUAUAUAUAAUUAUCAAUUUUUUAAUUAGUAUAAAUUAGUAUUUUUAAUAAUUAUGGUAUAAAUUAAUAUUAAUAUUUAAGUGAUUAUAAAAAGUAUUAAUAUUUUAUAUAAAAUAAUAAAUUUGUUGUCUUUUUUACUGGGUAUAAACACCUAAUUUAUUUAUUUUACUCAUUUUAUUUUUACUCUUCUCUCUCUCUUAGAUAUCUUUCUCUCUAGAAUUUGUCUCUAAACCUCCAAAAUUAUAACUUUUAUUCUCAUUUUUGGUCGACCACCAUAAUUGUUGCUAUCCUCCACCGUCCAUCACCGAUUCAAUACCCAAAAAUUAAUGAAACUUCCUCCAAAGUUUUAUCUCCGCCUCCUCUUUCAAUUUUUUUUUGAUUAGUUUGUCCUAAAAGCCCACCAAAACCCAUAGAUUCAUACAUACAAAUCUUUCAUCAGUUAACCUCUCACCGUCCAUCACAGUUUUUUUUCUGAUUUGGGUUGUUUUGUUUUCUAAAUUUUAUUACUGGGUUUUAAGUUUAAUUUGCACUUUCUAGUGCAAAACUGAUAUUUUAGGUUUGGGAAAGUAUUUUUGGUAAUUCAAAUACCAAAAGUGAAGUGAAUAUGUUAGUAACAUAGAUCUAAUUUAACUGUUAGUAAGUUAGCAGUUAUAGUCGUUAGUCUGUUACACCUAUGUAAGUUCUCAAAUUCUAUUCUUUUCUCUUUUCUCUUGUAAGCUGUAUAUAACAGAGUCUUUGUAAAUAAAAUUUACUGAGCAAUUCCAUUUCUACAUGGUAUCAGAUGUAAAAUUCUCUUUCAAUUCUCUUGCAUUUUCCUGUACUUUCUCGCUUCCCAAACACUCUAUUUCUUUGAUUUUCAUUGGUUUUCUUUCUUACCAAUGGUUCUCCAUGAUCCUACACUACCUUCUAGUCCUUAUUACCUUCAUCCAAAUGAAAAUCCAACCUUAGUUCUUGUUUUUCCUGCCUUAUCAAGCUCGAAUUAUCAUUCUUGGUCUCGAGCAAUGACAAUGGUGCUCUUAUCCAAGAACAAGCUUAAAUUUGUUGAUGGCACAAUCACAAUUCCAAUCAAAACAGAUCCUUUUUAUCCAGCUUGGGAAAGGUACAAUAUUAUGGUGAUUUCUUGGCUGCAUCACUCUAUCUUGCCUUCCAUCAUGAAUAGUAUUCUCUGGCUCGACUUUGCUUAUGAGAUUUGGCGCGAUCUCCGUGAACGUUUUUCUCAGGGAGAUAUUUUUCGCAUUUCUGAUCUCCAAGAAGAGAUCUCUACUUUCAAGCAAGAUGAUCGAUCGGUCACUGAUUACUUUACUGAGUUGAAGAUUCUCUGGGACGAGUUGUUGAAUUUUUGACCGAUUCUCACCUGUUCUUAUCACACACCUUGUUCCUGUGGUGUCUUUCCUACUCUUCAGAAAUAUCAUGAUAAUGACUAUGUUAUUCGAUUUCUUAAAGGCCUUCAUGAUCGAUUUGGUGGUGUUCAUUAUCAAAGUAUGCUUAUUGAUCUCUUGCCUACGAUCAAUAAAGCUUUUUCUAUGGUCAUUCAACAGGAACGCCAUCUUGCUGUUGGAUCUUCUCAAGUGUUUGUUAGUAAUAGAAUGCGCCAACAUUCUUCUUCUAAGAAAUCUCUAGUAAAAUCUUCCACCGAUUCGCGGCAGUGCACUUUUUUGUGGCAAAUCCAGGCACACCGUUGAUACAUGUUAUGAGAAGCAUGGUUACCCACCUGGUUAUAAGUCUCGUGGCCAGAAUUCUCGUGCACACAAUGUGUUUGAUGAUGGUGUUGUACAAUCCUUGAAAUCUUCAGAGUCUGUUGCUACCUUGCCAUCGAACCCUUGUGUUAAAUUGACACAAGAACAGUUACAACAGCUACUCACAUUGCUUCCAUCUACAAAUUCUACCUCACCACCUUAUGUUACCAACACUACCUCUUCCUUACACCAAACAACUUCUACAUCUACAGGUAACGUUUUUUCCUUUCAAUCACACUAUUGGAUUAUAGAUACUGGUGCGACCGAUCAUAUUACACAUUUUUUAUCCUUGUUUGCCUCUUUCACUCCAAUUCAACCUGUGCAUAUCACUCUUCCUAAUGGCAUCAAAGUUUGUGCUCGAUUUUCUGGUACAGGUAUUUUUAGUGAUAGUCUUUAUAUUACAAAUGUCCUUUAUGUUCCUCACUUUGCUUUCAAUCUCUUAUCUGUCACUAAACUUACUGCCACCUUACCUUGUUCAUUCUCUUUUCAUAAAACUCAUUGUUCCUUGCAAGCACUUCCCUCUAUGAAGAUGAUUAGUACAGCUAAAGUUUUUCAUGGUCUUUACAUUUUGGACUCACCUGCUCAAACCUUCUCCAUUACCAUUCCCACUAUCUUGUCAGCCACCACCACCUCCUAUCACCUUUGGCACCAUCGUCUUGGUCACCUUUCUGAUUGAAGAUUGAAGUUACUUUCUCCUUAUAUUCCUUCUUUGUCCAUCGCAAAUAAUUCAGAUUGUAAAGCUUGUCAUUUGGCAAAACAAAAGAAAAUUCCUUUUCCUGUAAGCAAUUAUACUUCCAAUAAAAUCUUUGAUCUUGUUCACAUUGAUAUUUGGGGUCCGACUGAUGUUGUUUCUGUCACUGGUCAUCAUUAUUUUCUAACUAUUGUUGAUGAUUUCAGUCGUUUUACUUGGAUUAUUCUAUUGAAAGCCAAAUCUGAAGUUUGUACUCAUAUUCAAAAUUUUUACACACUUGUUGAAACUUAAGUUUCCUAAAAAAUUAAGGUCUUUAGAACUGAUAAUGGUCGUGAGUUUGAUGUUCCAGCUUUUUAUACUUCUAAGGGAAUCAUUCAUCAAACUUCUUUAUUGAAACCCCACAACAAAAUGGUCUUGUUGAUCGUAAGCAUCAACAUAUUCUUAAUGUUUCACCGGCUCUUUUAUUCCAUUCUAGCUUACCUAGACAUUUUUGGGGACAUGUUGUUUUUCAUUCUGUGUUUCUUAUUAACCGUGCCCCAACUCCUCUUUUGGAAAAUCUUGCUCCCUUUUUAAAACUUUACCAAGCCAAGGCUGACUUUCAACAUUUACAUGUCUUUAGUUGCCUUAGUUUUGCUACAACCCUUACUGCCCAUCGUCAUAAAUUUGAUCCUCGAGCUUGUGAGUGUAUUUUUCUUGGGUUUCAACCAAAUGUUAAAGGAUAUAUCCUUUUUGAUAUGUUAUCCCAUGUCAUCUUUGUUUCAAGAAAUGUCAUCUUUCAUGAGACAACCUUUCCUUUUUCUCAUUAACCAUCUCAUUCCUCCACCCCUAAACUAGUUUUUGAUCCUUCCACCACUUAUGAUUUACCAUCUCAGCCACAAGUUACACCUAUUUCUCCCUUACAAUCUUCCAGGUCAUUUCGUAUUCAAAAACCACAUUCUUAUUUAGACCAAUAUUAACGGUUUUUUAAGCAAGGCUACUACCAAUCAUCUUCGAUGUACAACACAUUUCUCCAACCUUUCUUCCACCCAUUUACAUUCCACUCUUGCCAUUAGUGUUUCCUUUGUACCUAAAACAUAUUUACAAGCUAGUAAACAUUCCCAUUAGAGAGAAGCAAUGCAAGCUGAAAUUUUUUCUCUUGAAGAAAAUAACAUAGAGCCGAUUGUUCUAAAUCGGUUUACCUCCAGGCAAAACUGCAAUCAGUUGUAAAUAGGUUUAUCGAGUGAAACAUAGAGCCGAUGGUUCUAUUGAACGUUACAAGGCUCGUUUGAUUACAAAGGGGUUCACACAAACCGAGGGUAUCGAUUAUUUUGAUACUUUUUCACCUGUAGCCAAGAUCAGCACUGCUCGCUUGUUACUUACUAUUGCUGCUUCUAAGAAUUGGUAUUUGCACCAGCUUGAUGUUAACAAUGCCUUUCUGCAUAGUGAUUUAAGUGAAGAGGUUUAUAUGCUUUUACCUUCUGGUUUUGAUUCAUCAACUCCCAAUAAGGUUUCUAAGUUACAAAAAUACUUAUAUGGUCUAAAGCAAGCAAGUAGACAGUGGUUCUCUAAGCUCACGUCUGUUCUUACUUCUCUUGGUUAUAUUUAAUCCAGUUCUAAUUUCUCAUUGUUCAUUAAAAAGGAUGUUGUUUCCUUCACUGCAUUAUUGGUUUAUGUCGAUGAUGUCAUUCUGGCUGGUGAUCACUUGUAUGAAAUAGUAAGAGUUAAAGCUUUUUUGGAUUCUGCAUUUAGAAUCAAAGACUUGGGUGAUUUAAAAUACUUUUUUGGACUUGAGGUUGCUCAAAGCUCUGCUGGUAUUCAUAUUUGUCAAAGAAAAUAUGCUUUAGACAUAUUGUUUGAUUUCGGUUUCAUAGAUUGCAAACCUGUUAAGACUCCAAUGGCUACAAAAAUCCCUCGAGAUGCUUCUGCAGAAUUACUUCCUGAUAAUACUCUUUUUAGGAAACUUAUUGGCCUACUAUUGUAUCUGGUUUCUACUAGACCUGAUAUUGCCUUUGCCAUUCAACAAUUGAGUCAAUUCUUGGACCAGCCUACAGUCACACAUCUGCAAGCUGCUUAUCAUGUUCUUCGUUACUUAAAUUGUUGCCCUACUUCUGGUCUCUUCUUUUUUGCUUCUUCAUCAGCUGUAUUGAAGGCUUUUAGUGAUUCUGACUGGUCUGGUUGCCCUGUGACACGCCAAUCUGUGACUGGUUAUUGUUUGUUUUAUGGUGACUCCCUUAUUAGUUGGAAGGCCAAGAAGCAAACCACUGUGUCUCGUUCUUCCUCAGAAGCAGAAUAUCGUGCACUUGCCUCUACUGCUUGUGAAAUUCAGUGGCUUCGAUCUCUUUUGUGUGAUUUGCACCUACCUAUUUCUGGUCCUACUAAUUUAUUCUGUGAUAAUAACUCCGCUCUUCAGAUUGCUGCAAAUCCCAUAUUUCAUGAACAUACUAAACAUAUAGAAAUUGACUGUCAUCUCAUUUGUGAAAAGGUGCAAUCCGGUGUUAUUAAACUGCUCCCUUGCUCUUCUAGGGAUCAACUAGCUGAUAUUUUCACCAAAGCUCUUGCUGUUGUUCCUUUUCAGAUCAUGUUGUCCAAGCUGGGAUUGCUUUCCAUACACUUUCCAGCUUGAGGGGGGCUAUUAGUAAUAUAGAUCUAAUUUAACUGUUAGUUAGUUAGCAGUUAUAAUAGUUACUCUGUUACAACUAUGUAAGUUCUCAAAUUCUAUUCUUUUCUCUUUCUCUUGUAAGUUGUAUAUAACAGUCUUUGUAAAUAAAAUUUACUGAGCAAUUCCAUUUCUACAGAAUAUAUAGUUGAAAAGCUUGCCCCUUCUUCUUGUUUGGUGGGUGAGAAAAGGAAGGGAAAAUUUGAGAUACCAGAGAAUUUCUAUGUAUUGAUUACUGGAGCUAAAAUCCCUACCAUUGCGCUUGGAGCAUGGCAGAGUGGAGGAGACCUUGUGUUGAUAUUGUGAAAAUAGUAUUGUCAGAUGAAAUCAAAGUAGGAAAGCAUUGAAUCAAAGUUUG